GAUGAACGCUGGCGGCGUGCCUAAUACAUGCAAGUCGAGCGAACAGACGAGGAGCUUGCUCCUCUGACGUUAGCGGCGGACGGGUGAGUAACACGUGGAUAACCUACCUAUAAGACUGGGAUAACUUCGGGAAACCGGAGCUAAUACCGGAUAAUAUAUUGAACCGCAUGGUUCAAUAGUGAAAGACGGUUUUGCUGUCACUUAUAGAUGGAUCCGCGCCGCAUUAGCUAGUUGGUAAGGUAACGGCUUACCAAGGCGACGAUGCGUAGCCGACCUGAGAGAGUGAUCGGCCACACUGGAACUGAGACACGGUCCAGACUCCUACGGGAGGCAGCAGUAGGGAAUCGUCCGCAAUGGGCGAAAGCCUGACGGAGCAACGCCGCGUGAGUGAUGAAGGUCUUCGGAUCGUAAAACUCUGUUAUUAGGGAAGAACAAAUGUGUAAGUAACUAUGCACGUCUUGACGGUACCUAAUCAGAAAGCCACGGCUAACUACGUG
rnacentral:rRNA from 1 species